rnacentral:lncRNA from 1 species
GAUCACCAGACAUUUGAAGCCAGUCUGGGCUACAUAGAUCCUGUCUCAAAACAACAAAAAAUUCAAUAGCUCUUUUAAAAAAAUCAGUGAUGUUGUUUUUCUAGUUAAGUCUUUAUUGUAGAAUUUUUUUGGUGGGGGGUGAAGCCCUGGGCCUCCAUGUCACCUACAAGACAAAUUCUCUACCACUGGGCCUCAACCCCAGCCCUGAAAACACGACGGGAAGACGGGGAGCCCCUGUAUCCCACCUCAGUGUCUCUUGUUAACUCCUCUGAUCAGUGUGGCAGCCCAGGGUGCAGCUCCAUGGGGAGCAUUUACCCAGCGUGCGUGAGGCCGGGGUUCCAUCCCUAACACUGCCAAAAAAAAAAGCCCAAGAUGUUUCAAGGGAAGCCUUUGAUGAGUAGGAAAGGUGUGCGUUCUUUCCUGCUUCCAGCCUGACUCCUUCUUGCCAUUUGUCGUGAGAUGUGUACGUGCAGAUCCACAGCUCGUUUUUCCCAUGAGUGACAUGGAGUCACGGUCGCCAGGAGAAGAAGUGGAAUCUGUGAGCCGCAAACAGAGCCAAGGUGGACAGUAAAUGUUGGAGAUAAAAGCGGUGCCUCAGCACCUAGCCUCCGGAGCUGACGUUUCCCUUUACCAGCCAGAGCCUGGAAGGGUCUGGAAGCCUUGCAUGAAGGAGGGCCCCAAGUCCACUCGGGACUGGGCAGCUGUCCCCACCCCAGUGCCCACUGUUCUACUCCUGCUUCCUGCCUCUGUGAACCGGAAUUCUCUACCACCUCAGGUGAGUCUGAAGGCCUGGACUCACACCCAGCCCAGAAAGUGCUGCAGUGACCCUGAGCGACCGCCAGCACCCGGGGUGUACACUCGCUUCCCGCCUGCACUGUGGUGUCACUGUGCAGAGCGUAAUGAAGGAGACGCUAAGCAGUAAAGCUGCUGGCACCCCAGCUUUGGAAGGAAAUGUGCCCUGGGCACGCCUGGCCCAUGUGGGAGGGCCGUGCAUCAGCCCCGAGCUCAGAGGGACAGUGCCUGAUUCCGGCUGUCUUCCAAAAGAGGCUGCAGUGGUGCUGCCCUUAUCACCAUGCAGACCUGCGGGCAAAAAUGGACAGUAAAUGAAAUGCAGCUUCGGCACUUUCUGUUCCCAAAUCUACCAAUGCCUAUUUUGGGUUUUUAAAAAAUUUAUUUUAGGGCCGGGGAUUUAGCUCAGUGGUUUUGGCGCCUGCUGUACAAG